rnacentral:lncRNA from 1 species
AAAACCAAGAUAGUUUAUAAUGUCAGCCAUGCAAAGAUGUCCUGGCUGUAGAAAAGCACCGUCCCUGCUCCGAGUCAGAGAGCCAAAGGCGAUGGACCAAACACGAACCUUUGCUCAUUGUUGGGGCUCAAGUCAGUUUCCUGGUGGAAGCUGAAUGUUCCUGUGGGUACUGUCCAGCCCACACUGAGAGUUCCGUGGGAAUAAGAGCUUUCCUUGUCUUAUGUACUGAGGGGCCUUCAGUGCAAGAUUCAAGAUCAUUCCCAGCUACAUAGAAAGUUUCAGGUUAGCCUGGACUACAUGAGACCUUGUUUCAAUAAAAGGGAAAAAAAUGUUUUGUUGUUGUUGUUUUAGAAUUACUUCAGCAGAGUUAAAAUGAUUGGAUCUCUGUGAGUUUGAGGCCAGCCUGGACUACUGAGUGAGUUCCAGACAGACAGCAAACCCUCUUAAAAAACAAAAAGAAAAAGAACGCCAGCAAGGUGAUCCAUGUCAGAAAGAACAGAACUUUGCCUGAGUCCUUGACCAGUGGCUCUGUGAUUGAGAAUCCAUCCAUACACAACGACACAUGCCUGCCAUCCUGCAUUCAGGACACUAACGCACAUUUAUAAGUUCAAGAUGUUCUGUUGAUGCUCACUGUGCCCCUCCCCACCCCACCAACCCAAACAAAGCCUGGCAUCACCCUGUCCCCAGCUCGCAGGGUGUCUGUCGACCUUUCCUGUUUCUUCCCUGCAGCACACAGGAUCACACCCUUGAAGGGAUUCACAAAACCACACCCUCGGG